rnacentral:ncRNA from 1 species
AAUCAAGAGAUCCAACCCGAGGCCCUGGCCGGUUGGACGGCAACCCCCUUCGCCAUAGUGGGGUGCCCCAGGUGACGAUUCGACGCCGUCCCGACCGGGAGGCGUAAGUAUGGCGC